rnacentral:rRNA from 1 species
UACGUAGGGUGCAAGCGUUGUCCGGAAUUAUUGGGCGUAAAGAGCUCGUAGGCGGCUGUUCGAGUCGGGUGUGAAAUCCUGAGGCUUAACCUUGGGUCUGCAUUCGAUACUGGGCGGCUUGAGUCUGGUAGGGGAGUGUGGAAUUCCCGGUGUAGCGGUGAAAUGCGCAGAGAUCGGGAGGAACACCCGUAGCGAAGGCGGCACUCUGGGCCGGUACUGACGCUGAGGAGCGGAAGCGUGGGGAGCAAACGGG